UAAUAAGUGUUUUAUGGCACUUUUUAAAUCCAUAUCCACCUUGUGUGCAAUGUCAGUCGAUCUUCUUUAUUGGAGAUCGACCAAACAUCAACCUUUAUUUUUAACUCUUUGUCUUAAAAAUAUUAUGAAUAAACAAUUCAAAAUA
rnacentral:misc_RNA from 1 species